UACGUAGGGCGCAAGCGUUAUCCGGAAUUAUUGGGCGUAAAGAGCUCGUAGGCGGUCUGUUGCGUCGGCUGUGAAAACCCGGGGCUCAACCCCGGGCCUGCAGCCGAUACGGGCAGACUAGAGUUCGGCAGGGGAGACUGGAAUUCCUGGUGUAGUGGUGAAAUGCGCAGAUAUCAGGAGGAACACCGGUGGCGAAGGCGGGUCUCUGGGCCGAGACUGACGCUGAGGCGCGAAAGCGUGGGGAGCAAACAGG
rnacentral:rRNA from 1 species